GACAGAGGGUGCAAACGUUGUUCGGAAUUACUGGGCGUAAAGCGCGUGUAGGCGGCUAUGUAAGUCGGGCGUGAAAUCCCACGGCUCAACCGGUGGAAGUGCACCCGAAACUGACGUAGCUAGAGUCCUGGAGAGGAAGGUGGAAUGCUUGGUGUAGAGGUGAAAUUCGUAGAUAUCAAGCGGAACACCGGUGGCGAAGGCGGCCUUCUGGACAGUCGACUGACGCUGAGACGCGAAAGCGGUGGGGAG
rnacentral:rRNA from 1 species